rnacentral:rRNA from 1 species
CCUACGGGGGGCUGCAGUGAGGAAUAUUGGUCAAUGGGCGAGAGCCUGAACCAGCCAAGUCGCGUGAAGGAUGACGGCCCUACGGGUUGUAAACUUCUUUUGUCAGGGAGCAAUUGGGUCCACGCGUGGGCUUAGCGAGAGUACCUGAAGAAAAAGCAUCGGCUAACUCCGUGCCAGCAGCCGCGGUAAUACGGAGGAUGCGAGCGUUAUCCGGAUUUAUUGGGUUUAAAGGGUGCGUAGGCGGAAUAUCAAGUCAGCGGUAAAAAUUCGGGGCUCAACCCCGUCGUGCCAGUGAAACUGAUGGUCUUGAGUGGGCGAGAAGGAGGCGGAAUGCGUGGUGUAGCGGGGAAAUGCAGAGAUAUCACGAAGAACUCCGAUUGCGAAGGCAGCAUACCGGCGCCCAACUGACGCUGAAGCACGAAAGUGUGGGUAUCGAACAGGAUUAGAUACCCGAGUAGUC